CCUACGGGAGGCAGCAGUGAGGAAUAUUGGUCAAUGGCCGUAAGUCUGAACCAGCCAAGUAGCGUGAGGGAAGACUGCCCUAUGGGUUGUAAACCUCUUUUAUGUGGGGAUAAAGGUGUCCACGUGUGUAUGUUUGCAGGUACCGCAUGAAUAAGGACCGGCUAAUUCCUUGCCAGCAGCCGCGGUAAUACGGAAGGUCCGGGCGUUAUCCGGAUUUAUUGGGUUUAAAGGGUGCGUAGGCCGGUCUUUAAGCGAGCGGUGAAAUUUUGUGGCUCAACUCUGAGAGUGCGGCGAGAACUGGAGACCUUGAGUGCGCGGAAGGCAGGUGGAAUUCGUGGUGUAGCGGUGAAAUGCUUAGAUAUCACGAAGAACCCCGAUUGCGAAGGCAGCCUACCGCAGCGUUACUGACGCUGAGGCUCGAAAGCGUGGGUAUCGAACAGGAUUAGAUACCCCUGUAGUC
rnacentral:rRNA from 1 species